AGCUUUGCGCAGUGGCAGUAUCGUAGCCAAUGAGGUUUAUCCGAGGCGCGAUUAUUGCUAAUUGAAAACUUUACAUACAAUAAAUAACAUGCCAUACACUGACAAUGGCAACAAUAACAAUAUU
rnacentral:snRNA from 1 species